CCGCAUGAUACAGUGAUCAAAGGAGCAAUCCGCUGAAAGAUGGGCUCGCGUCCGAUUAGAUAGUUGGUGAGGUAACGGCUCACCAAGUCGACGAUCGGUAGCCGGACUGAGAGGUUGAACGGCCACAUUGGGACUGAGACACGGCCCAGACUCCUACGGGAGGCAGCAGUGGGGAAUAUUGCACAAUGGGCGAAAGCCUGAUGCAGCAACGCCGCGUGAGGGAAGACGGUUUUCGGAUUGUAAACCUCUGUUUUCGGUGACGAAUAAAUGACGGUAACCGAGUAGGAAGCCACGGCUAACUACGUGCCAGCAGCCGCGGUAAUACGUAGGUGGCAAGCGUUAUCCGGAAUUACUGGGUGUAAAGGGAGCGCAGGCGGGAUAGCAAGUCAGCUGUGAAAACUAUGGGCUCAACCCAUAAACUGCAGUUGAAACUGUUAUUCUUGAGUGGAGUAGAGGCAAGCGGAAUUCCGAGUGUAGCGGUGAAAUGCGUAGAUAUUCGGAGGAACACCAGUGGCGAAGGCGGCUUGCUGGGCUCUAACUGACGCUGAGGCUCGAAAGUGUGGGGAGCAAACAGGAUUAGAUACCCUGGUAGUCCACACUGUAAACGAUGAUUGCUAGGUGUGGGGGGUCUGACCCCCUCCGUGCCGGAGUUAACGCAAUAAGCAAUCCACCUGGGGAGUAC
rnacentral:rRNA from 1 species